AUUCCCGAACUCUCUAUUUAUAGAUGAAUUUUUCAUAAUUUUUUGAUAGGAAAAGGAAUCUUAAAAUCCUUAGAAAUCAUAUUAAUCCUCUUAGAAAUAUUUCUGACCAUCGGAUGGAGCUUGAACUACCCAGAUCUGUUCGAAAAAUCAAUGUUUUAAUCCGAAUCAAAGUCGGAUCGAAUGUCAGCCAUCCGAUCUAGAUUCUGAUGAAGUUCUGGCCAUCGGAUCGCGCAAAAGAUCUCCUAUUCAAAGUCAAAAAUAUCUUGAGCCAUUC
rnacentral:lncRNA from 1 species